UUCGCAAUGCCCGAAAGGGUGAACGAGCGACGCCGCGUGGAGGAUGAAGGCCUUCGGGUUGUAAACUCCUGUCGAGGGGGAGGAAGCCGCGAGGUUGACCGAUCCCUGGAGGAAGCACGGGCUAAGUUCGUGCCAGCAGCCGCGGUAAGACGAACCGUGCGAACGUUAUUCGGAAUCACUGGGCUUAAAGCGCGUGUAGGCGGGUGGGAACGUCGGUUCUUGAAAGCCCCCGGCUCAACCGGGGAAGGGGGACCGAAACGACCGGCCUGGAGGGGCGUAGGGGGACCUGGAACUUCCGGUGGAGCGGUGAAAUGCGUUGAGAUCGGAAGGAACGCCCGUGGCGAAAGCGAGGUCCUGGACGUCUGCUGACGCUGAGACGCGAAAGCUAGGGGAGCAAACGGGAUUAGAUACCCCGGUAGUCCUAGCCGUAAACGAUGGGCACUAAGUAGAGGGGUUUU
rnacentral:rRNA from 1 species